AAUCAAAAGCCCCGGCGGUGCUCGGGGGGAAGUAUACAGCUUAUUCGAAGAUGGGCGUGUGCAGGGACUGCUGCUGGGAGACAGUGGUUACCCACAGUUGCCAUACCUGUUCAUGCCCAUACCAGAGCAGCCAGUCCGUACAGAUGCAGAGCAGAGGUACUCAUGGCUCAUGCUCGGACGAGGAAUCUGGUGGAAAGGAUGUUCAGUGUUUGGAAGCAGCGCUUUCCCUGCUUGCAGCUUGUUUUACGAAACAAGCUGCAGACAACAGCAGCUAUCAUUGUUGCCUGUGCCAUUUGUC